AUUAUAUAAGAAAUUAGCCAAAGCGAUAAAGAAGAAAUAAAUCUUUCCACAUUACUCAUGGUAAUUAAAAAUAGACGUAGAGCAUCGUCGCAUAUUAUCACAAAUUGAUUUAAACAUCCUUUGGGCUAAUUAUCGUAACACUUGUAUCUACAUCAUUUAGAUACUACAUAGAAUUCUUUUCCACUGAGCUCCAUUGACGAUGGAUUAUUAAAAGGACAGGCACUCGGUAGACAUUUAAAGGAUUUUCAUAGCCAAAAGGAAUACGACAGGUAUAUAAACGCAUAAUAAUAAUAGAUUCUAAAAGUACAUAAUGAAAAAGAGAGAAAGAGAGAGAGAGAGAGAGAGAGAGAGAGAGAGAGAGAGA